rnacentral:rRNA from 1 species
GAUGAACGCUGGCGGCGUGCCUAAUACAUGCAAGUCGAGCGAACGGACGAGAAGCUUGCUUCUCUGAUGUUAGCGGCGGACGGGUGAGUAACACGUGGAUAACCUACCUAUAAGACUGGGAUAACUUCGGGAAACCGGAGCUAAUACCGGAUAAUAUUUUGAACCGCAUGGUUCAAAAGUAAAAGACGGUCUUGCUGUCACUUAUAGAUGGAUCCGCGCUGCAUUAGCUAGUUGGUAAGGUAACGGCUUACCAAGGCAACGAUGCAUAGCCGACCUGAGAGGGUGAUCGGCCACACUGGAACUGAGACACGGUCCAGACUCCUACGGGAGGCAGCAGUAGGGAAUCUUCCGCAAUGGGCGAAAGCCUGACGGAGCAACGCCGCGUGAGUGAUGAAGGCCUUCGGAUCGUAAAACUCUGUUAUUAGGGAAGAACAUAUGUGUAAGUAACUGUGCACAUCUUGACGGUACCUAAUCAGAAAGCCACGGCUAACUACGUG